rnacentral:rRNA from 1 species
GAACGCGAAGAACCUUACCAGGUCUUGACAUCCCUCUGACCGUUCUAGAGAUAGAGCUUUCCUUCGGGACAGAGGUGACAGGUGGUGCAUGGUUGUCGUCAGCUCGUGUCGUGAGAUGUUGGGUUAAGUCCCGCAACGAGCGCAACCCCUAUUGUUAGUUGCCAUCAUUCAGUUGGGCACUCUAGCGAGACUGCCGGUAAUAAACCGGAGGAAGGUGGGGAUGACGUCAAAUCAUCAUGCCCCUUAUGACCUGGGCUACACACGUGCUACAAUGGCUGGUACAACGAGUCGCAAGCCGGUGACGGCAAGCUAAUCUCUUAAAGCCAGUCUCAGUUCGGAUUGUAGGCUGCAACUCGCCUACAUGAAGCCGGAAUCGCUAGUAAUCGCGGAUCAGCACGCCGCGGUGAAUACGUUCCCGGGUCUUGUACACACC